AUUGAACGCUGGCGGCAGGCUUAACACAUGCGAGUCGAGCGGAGCGAGGGUGCUUGCACCUUAGCUUAGCGGCGGACGGGUGAGUAAUGCUUAGGAAUCUGCCUAUUAGUGGGGGACAACAUUCCGAAAGGAAUGCUAAUACCGCAUACGCCCUACGGGGGAAAGCAGGGGAUCUUCGGACCUUGCGCUAAUAGAUGAGCCUAAGUCGGAUUAGCUAGUUGGUGGGGUAAAGGCCUACCAAGGCGACGAUCUGUAGCGGGUCUGAGAGGAUGAUCCGCCACACUGGGACGGAGACACGGCCCAGACUCCUACGGGAGGUAGCAGUGGGGAAUAUUGGACAAUGGGCGGAAGCCUGAUCCAGCCAUGCCGCGUGUGUGAAGAAGGCCUUUUGGUUGUAAAGCACUUUAAGCGAGGAGGAGGCUACUUAGAUUAAUACUCUGGGAUAGUGGACGUUACUCGCAGAAUAAGCACCGGCUAACUCUGUGCCAGCCGCCGCGGUAA
rnacentral:rRNA from 1 species